AAGCGAAUAAGGGGAAAGGGGAAGUCUGGGAGGGAGGCCUUGGAGGAGGCUGAUGGGAGAGGAGACAGAGAGGGCACCAGCUUGAUCUGUAACCACCAGUCCACUGGCCUCCCCACCAGCAUCUGCUGAGCUAUGAGCCACACCAGAGAUUUACAGGGAGGAAAAGCCUUCGGGUUGCUGAAGGCCCAGCAGGAAGACAGACUUGAGGAAAUCAACAAGCAAUUCCUGGAUGAUCCCAAAUAUAGCAGUGAUGAGGAUCUGCUCUCCAAACUGGAAGCCUUCAAAAAGAAAUACAUGGAGUUUGACCUGAAUGGAAACGGAGAUAUCGAUAUCAUGUCCCUGAAGCGAAUGCUGGAAAAACUUGGGGUCCCCAAAACCCACCUGGAGCUGAAGAAACUAAUCAGGGAGGUUUCCAGCGGCUCUGGGGAGACUUUCAGCUACUCUGACUUUCUCAGGAUGAUGUUGGGAAAGAGAUCUGCAAUCCUAAAAAUGAUCCUGAUGUACGAGGAGAAAGCAAGAGAACAGGAGAAGCCAGCAGGUCCCCCAGCCAAGAGAGAUAUCUCUGAAUUGCCCUGAUUUAUGGUAGGGGAGAUGUGGUGGGAUUGACACCAGCAUGGAAAAAGAACAUAGAAUUAAUGUAUUGUGGAUGUCUCCGGCGCCUUCAAAACAGUUGUCGAAGGAUUUGCUGAACGGGAAGUAGGUCCGACUGGAGCACAGUAAUAGAAGACAAAGAGGGAAAUUAGUACCGCAUUUCGUGAAUGAAACCCAUUGUGAAGAGAAUACAAACUGCCAAUAAUCAGAUAUUGCAAAUACAUUCAUGAAACUUGUUAUAAAAUUUAAUGUCUUAGUCAUUGGUUGCUGAUAUGUUAAAUGAAGAGGUCAUUCCCACCCUAUCUUUGUUCAAAUGAUUUGCAUGUAUUAUGCAAAUAAACAGAACUAUUCAAAGAA